CCUACGGGAGGCAGCAGUGAGGAAUAUUGGUCAAUGGACGAGAGUCUGAACCAGCCAAGUAGCGUGAAGGAUGAAUGCCCUAUGGGUUGUAAACUUCUUUUAUAAAGGAAUAAAACGAGGCACGUGUGCCUGUUUGCAUGUACUUUAUGAAUAAGGAUCGGCUAACUCCGUGCCAGCAGCCGCGGUAAUACGGAGGAUCCGAGCGUUAUCCGGAUUUAUUGGGUUUAAAGGGAGCGUAGGUGGGUUGUUAAGUCAGAUGGGAAAGUUUGCGGCUCAACCGUAAAAUUGCAAUUGAUACUGGCAGUCUUGAGUACAGUUGAGGUAGGCGGAAUUCGUGGUGUAGCGGUGAAAUGCUUAGAUAUCACGCAGAACCCCGAUUGCGAAGGCAGCUUACUAAACUGUGACUGACGUUGAUGCUCGAAAGUGUGGGUAUCAAACAGGAUUAGAUACCCUUGUAGUC
rnacentral:rRNA from 1 species